UAGGGAAUCAUCGGCAAUGGGGGAAACCCUGACCGUGCAAUGCCGCGUGAGUGAUGAAGGCCUUCGGGUUGUAAAGCUCUGUUGCGAAGGAAGAAUAGCCUAGAUAGAAUCUAGGUCUGACGGUACUUCGCCAGAAAGCCAUGGCUAACUACGUGCCAGCAGCCGCGGUAAUACGUAGAUGGCAAGCGUUAUCCGGAUUUAUUGGGCGUAAAGGGUGCUCAGCUGGUUUGUUAAGUUUGUAGUUAAAAUUCGAAGCUCAACUUCGAAGUGCUGCGAAAACUGAUGAACUUGAGUACAGGAGAGGGUAGUGGAAUUCCAUGUGAAGCGGUAAGAUGCGUAGAUAUAUGGAGGAACACCAGUGGCGAAGGCGGCUACCUGGCCUGUAACUGACGGUCAAGCACGAAAGCGUGGGGAGCAAAUAGG
rnacentral:rRNA from 1 species